ACGGAGGAUGCAAGCGUUAUCCGGAUUUAUUGGGUUUAAAGGGUGCGUAGGUGGAAUGAUAAGUCAGUGGUGAAAUCCUGCAGCUUAACUGUAGAACUGCCAUUGAUACUGUUGUUCUUGAGUGCAGAUGAGGUAGGCGGAAUGAGUAGUGUAGCGGUGAAAUGCUUAGAUAUUACUCAGAACACCGAUUGCGAAGGCAGCUUACUAAACUGUAACUGACACUGAUGCACGAAAGCGUGGGGAUCGAACAG
rnacentral:rRNA from 1 species